rnacentral:rRNA from 1 species
CCUACGGGUGGCAGCAGUGAGGAAUAUUGCGCAAUGGGCGAAAGCCUGACGCAGCGACGCCGCGUGAGGGAUGAAGGUCUUCGGAUCGGAAAACUCUGUCAGCAGGGAAGAAAGGUCACUGUGCUAAUCAGCAGUGAAUUGACGGUACCUGCAAAGAAAGCACCGGCUAACUCCUUGCCAGCAGCCGCGGUAAUACGGAGGGUGCGAGCGUUAAUCGGAAUUACUGGGCGUAAAGCGCGCGUAGGCGGUAUGUCAAGUCAAGGUUGAAGUCCCCGGGCCCAACGUUGGAACUGACUUUGAUACUGGCAAACUUGAGUGUGUGAGAGGAUAGUGGAAUUCCAGGUGUAGGAGUGAAAUCCGUAGAUAUCUGGAGGAACAUCAGUGGCGAAGGCGACUAUCUGGCACAUAACUGACGCUGAUGAGCGAAAGCGUGGGUAGCAAACAGGAUUAGAUACCCGGGUAGUC